CCUACGGGGGGCAGCAGUGGGGAAUUUUGGACAAUGGGCGCAAGCCUGAUCCAGCCAUGCCGCGUGCGGGAAGAAGGCCUUCGGGUUGUAAACCGCUUUUGUGGAACGCACGGUACCUGAAGAAUAAGCACCGGCUAACUACGUGCCAGCAGCCGCGGUAAUACGUAGGGUGCAAGCGUUAAUCGGAAUUACUGGGCGUAAAGCGUGCGCAGGCGGCUAUGCAAGACAGAUGUGAAAUCCCCGGGCUCAACCUGGGAACUGCAUUUGUGACUGCAUGGCUAGAGUACGGCAGAGGGGGAUGGAAUUCCGCGUGUAGCAGUGAAAUGCGUAGAUAUGCGGAGGAACACCGAUGGCGAAGGCAAUCCCCUGGCCGUACUGACGCUCAUGCACGAAAGCGUGGGGAGCAAACAGGAUUAGAUACCCUUGUAGUC
rnacentral:rRNA from 1 species